UGGCUCCAGCCAGGGCUGGGUCGGGAACCUCAGCGAGCAGGGCUGAGUCUUCCCUGCGCCCAGACCUGAGCACCGGAGUUGGGAAACCAGGCUUGAGAGGUUCUUGAACGUCUGUGAUUUUGAGGAAGUGACUUCAUCUGUCUGCCCGUCAGAUUCUUCCUCUAUAAGAGGAAGAGGAUUAAUCAACGUAUGCACAUUAAAGCACUAAGAAGGGCACCUAGAAUGUAAUGAAGAAAUUGAAGCUGAGAGAACUUAAGCAACUUGUCCAACUUUGGUGUGCAAGCAGUGAGUGGGAGAAGCAAAGAUCUGAACCCAGACAGCCUACUUGAGUCUGUGCAUGUAACCACUCUACUAAACUGCCCUCCAGUAUUUAAAGGACUUCUAAGAAGUUAAUAAGUCAAGGAAAAUGUACUUUUUAAAAAUUGGGGGAAAAAGGCAUUUUACAGAAGAGGAAACAGGAAUGGUCCAGAAACAUAAGAUAAAAGACCAAAAUUAUUUAGUAAUCAGAAAACGCAAAUGAAAAUCAAGAGAUACCAUUUUACAUCCACCAGAUUUUAAAAAUUAAAAGCACAAUGACAAGUAUUGAAAAAGCUGGAAAGUGCUUAAAAUGGUUCCUGACAUACAGUAAAUUUUAUAGAAAUGUUUGCUAUUAUGUUAUCAUCAUCAUCAUAUUACUACUACUAUUACCACUAUGAAUCUUUUGUCAGUUACCUGUGUCUUCUCCUAGUGUGUGGCUACUAUCUUUAUGGUGUUUUUUGAUCAACAGAAUUCUUUAUUUUAAUGUAGUUGAAUUUAUCAAUCUUUUGUCUUGUUUAAGAAACCCUUCCCUACAUGAGAUUGUAAAGAUAUUCUCCUGUAUGAGAAUAAAGAUAUUCUC